rnacentral:rRNA from 1 species
UUUGAACGCAUAUUGCACUUCCGGGUUAUGCCUGGGAGUAUGCCUGUAUCAGUGUCCGUACAUCAACCUUGGCUUCCUUCCUUCCGUGUA